GCUGGGAUUACAGGCAUGAGCCAAUACGCCCGGCCUAUUUUUGAGAUUUUCUGCUGCUACUCCAGCUUAGCCUGACAGAGCUUUCACUUUUUGUUCCUACCCCUUCGUGUGCAUCUGAACAAUCCACAAGCCUCACGAACUCCUGUGGCUUCCCUCCCUUCGAGCUGUAUCCACCAUGACCUCUUGACCAGGGCUGAGGGAGAAGGAGGAGGGUCGUGCCACUAUCCUAGCACCCUCUGUCAAGAGCCACAGUCAUCAGAACCAUGGAGUGACUGACUGGAGAGAAGCAGCAAGAGACGGCCAGACAAAACAUCUUAAUGGGAUACUUAGUCUCUUUGUUUCAUUCAAGAGGGAUCUACCAAAAGGGAUCACCUCCUACAAAUGCUAAAUGGGUUUAAGGUUUAUACAGCAGCUCAUGUGGGUUCAGGGAUGCACAGGCAUUUCCCAACGUGUCAUCAUCCCUGGUUCUGAUAAAAUCCAGAGUGGGGCCUGUAAAUCAGAGGGCUUCACCCCUGAACCCACAGCAGCACCACCAAGACACAGUGUCCCCACUGUGCACAAGAUUACAGCUUCUCUCUUGCUGCCCUUUCAAUAUACCAGUCCUUACUCAAGCACACAAAAACUGUGCUUUUGCCCCUGGCAUUUGAGAAGUUUGUGAAUAGACACCAGCACUUGGAUAUUGAUUUUUCACACGAUGGUGACUUUUAAAUUCCUCUAUUGCUCCUGACUGAGUUUAGCAACCUCUUGACUAUUCUGGAAAACCAAAGAACUUCGGAAACAAUCAAACAAAUAUUAAAUUCAAUCACCCAGCAACACUGGGGAGGCAAAUGAAAUUUUACUCCUAAGAAUCUAAAGCCCCCAUAGUAAAUAUUUCUUUGCUGGCUGGCAAAUGAAUGUUUCUCAGCCCUUCUCAUGUCUGGAGACACCAAGUAAUGGGACAGCUCUUAAGCUGUCCCCAUGGUUUGUGACCAAGACUGGGGGCUACUUUGGCCUUCGUGGAAGUCCAGCACACUUCAACUGAGCUGCCAGUGGUGCCGAAUCCUGGAAAAUGCUGAGAGCCCUAAAAGUGGAUCAAGGAAAGGCUGUCAGUGCAUCAUCUCCCCCAGUCCUUGGCAAAGCCAGGGAGCAGGGUCCUGAUCCCCCAGAUUCCAGCUCUUCCUAAUGUUUCUCAGGAAAGAAGACUGCCCUGCUGCUGAUGGCCCAGGAGCCUGCCCAGAAAGCUCUGGGUAAAAAGCAA
rnacentral:lncRNA from 1 species